GAAAGAGUGGAUCGGACGGAACCCUAUAUCGGAGUGUCUGUUCGGCGGAGAGAGAGAGAGCAUGGAGGAAGAGAAACUAAGAGAGUUGAAGCAGUUCAUAGAGUCAUGCAGGUCCAAUCCCUCACUCCUCCACAUUCCAUCCCUUUCCUUCUUCAAGGCUUAUCUCCUCAACCUCGGUGCUCGUAUCCCUCCCCAACCCAAAACGG
rnacentral:sRNA from 1 species